AUAUUUUUGGCUAUUAAAGGAUCUUUCUCUCAUUCAUUAAUCCACUGUAUUUUCUCAAUAAUCUAGCCUUGCAUGUUACUAAAAACAACUCCUAAGCACUAAAUACCUUUAGUCUUCAAGCUAGCAUCAGUGGCACACAUCAUAGCACUAUUUUGAUUUAGUUGAGUAGAUCCUUGUUGAUUGUUAUUUGUUAUAUUGAUAUUCAUCAUAUGGUUGUUGAUACUUUUACUAUUGCUUCCUUUUUCCAUAUGCUUGUCG
rnacentral:lncRNA from 1 species